GGUUGUGAGGGUGAUCUGGUAGCGACAUCUGCCACCCCACUGGUCGCCAGGGUUGGAUCAGCUGAUCUGGCUGGCUAGGCGGGUGUCCCCUUCCUCCUCACUGCUCCAUGUGCGUCCCUCCAGAGAUGUGUAGUUGGUUGAACAGGACACCCUUUCCCCAAGGAUGAGGACCUGUCUUUAGUCAGGGCUCUAAGAGUAGUUGCGUUCCACUGCCAGAACUUCCAGACAAGCUCUCAUAGCCGCCAGUGAGGCCGACAAGGACUGGAGCCACCAUGAUUCGGUCACUCAAUGCCAUUGUGACCUUGUUU
rnacentral:snRNA from 1 species